rnacentral:lncRNA from 10 species
CAUAAAAAGGAAUGAAAUCAUGUCCUUUGCAGGGAUAUGGAUGAAGUCAGAAGCCAUUAUCCUCAACGAACUAAUGCAGGAAAAGGAAACCAAACAUUGCAUGUCCUCACUUACAAAUGGGGACUGAAAAAUGAGAAUCCAUGGACACAUGGUGGGGGAACAAUACACACUGGGGCCUGUCAGGGGGUGGGGAAGGGGUGGAAAAGCACUAAGAAGAAUAGUAAAUGGAUGCUGGGCUUAAUCCCUAGGUGAUGGGAUUAUCUGUGCAGCAAACCACCAUGGCACACGUUUAUCUGUGUAACAAAUUUGCGUAUCCUGCACGUAUACCCUAGAACUUAAAAUAUAAGUUGAUAAAAUAAAAUUUAAAAAUGUGGUGUACACAAAAAAUGAUUAAAGCACCAUAUUCACUGGUUUCUAAGACAAGAAUUAUCUUCGAAAAUAUCAAAAGAAUUAACCUAUAGGUUACAAUAUACUUCUGCCCUAACCUGUUCUGGUAGACACAGGUUUGUUGUUUAUAAUGAAUGUAAACUUAUCAUCUUACCUCCAAAAUUUUGAGACAUAGCAUAAGCACCAUUUCACUGUUCAUUGAUGAGAAUAGUACACUUUUUAUGUUAAAAGUCUCUUCCUGUGUCAUUUACCCAGUAUGAUCUCACUGUACCAUAUGUAGAAAUCAUCAUUAAAUUUAUGAUUCUAUUAUUAAAUCAAUGUUUAUUAUAUUCUCU